GGGGCAUAUACGUUGGCAAUUGAUUUGUCCUGACGAUUUAUAUCGCUAGCGAGACCAGCGACAUGUCGUCAGAGAGACCAGCGAUAAAUUAUCAGAGAGACUAGCGGUUCUGAAGGACUUUGCUGCCAGAUGAUUCGUAGCUCACCACAAAAAGAUACGCGAUGUUAUGACCCUACCACAGAAAAAUAUGGUCAUAGCUCAUGGUUGA
rnacentral:lncRNA from 1 species